UUGGUUCUGCCGUCAAAGAAGGAAAAGGAAAAUAAAAGCCAGCGAAAGAUGGAAAUUAAGCCAGGCAAACUCAGGUUCUGGCCCCGCCGCUUCUAGGUUGGAUUCAAUAAGUGGGAGCACUAAUUUAGUUAGGUUCACACUUGAUAAAAUUAAGGCUGCCACCAAGAAUUUUUCGAGGAAGAACAUAAUUGGAAGAGGAGGGUAUGGGAAUGUGUACAAGGGUGUAUUGCCUGAUGGCUCUGAAGCGGCAUUGAAGAGGUUCAAGAAUUGUUCUGCUUUCGGGGAUGCCACUUUCAUGCACGAGGUUGAGGUCAUUGCCAGCAUUAGGCAUGUCAAUUUCGUCCAAAUUACUCUUCUAAAGCCAUUGAUAGAUUACAGCAACAAUGACCAUAAAUAGUAUCAUAUUCAUUCUGCGCUCUUUGAGUUUUCUUUUCUCCACAUCAAUCUCCAAAUCUUUCACCUUCUUUGUUAACCUUUAUGUGUGCCUCACCAGUUUAUUGCACCUCUCAUAGCCGCUGGUUUCAUGCCAUUUGAAGUACCCACGGCCGCCUCCGCCAUUAUUAUGCUAGUCAUGGAGAACGGAGCUCAGAUUCUCCAAAAAAGGAAAACAAAAUAUUCUGAAUUAAAAACUUACUUCAUAAUAGGCACAUCCAUAGAAUUUCUUUCCUGGAUUCUUAGCUGUCCACGAAAUCUUCACUGUGGCUGGUAUACCGCAGCUACAGUUUGGUGGUUCUCCCAUGACAAUUUCAAAGAAAUUUAGGGAUUUGAAAUGCUUUGAAGGAAGAAAGAUACUGGUCCUCUACAUUUUGGUCAAGAUCCGAGUGACUUGCCCUUUUUGUCCCUCAAAAGUUGGUCACGUGAUGUUCACAUGACUGGGUCCGU
rnacentral:lncRNA from 1 species